rnacentral:rRNA from 1 species
UGUAGUCUGCAACCCGACUACAUGAAGCCGGAAUCGCUAGUAAUCGCGGAUCAGAAUGCCGCGGUGAAUACGUUCCCGGGUCUUGUACACACCGCCCGUCACACCAUGGGAGUCGGGAAUGCCCGAAGUCAGUGACCCAACCCAAGGGAGGAAGCUGCCGAAGGCAGGCCUGGUGACUGGGGUGAAGUCGUAACAAGGUAGC